rnacentral:rRNA from 1 species
AUGGAGUCAUCUUCCUCCUCCAUCAGGCGCCGCACUACCCCGCCUGCUCUACCGCUGAUCCCAUGCCCAUUCUGCAGAGAUAGGAUCAUCACAAACAUUUGCGGCCCCCGCGGAUCCCAGCCGGGGAACCGCUACUACAAGUGCUGCAAGAAAGAUUCUGGGAAAUGCCCGUUCUACGAGUGGCAGGAAGGUUACGAAGCGUACCUGGUGGAGCAAUCAGCUGCGGACGGAGCAGCACACAACCAAGAAAUUUUUCAAGCUUUGCCAAGAACAGUAGCUCAGAGGGGCAGCUUCCUUGGAGCUCGUCAGCUACAGGACCUCGUUAGGUUCAACACCAUGCUGGGCAUCGCCAAUCUGUUGGCCACUCUGCUGCUCAUCGCCUUCGCAUUUGUUGUAUUCGUCACGAUGUACUUUGCUCAGGGGCUCAUGCCCGACCAGUUUAGUAGCGUAGCAGAGAUGGGUAGCAAUGGACAAGCUGCAGAUAUUGGUUGCCAGAAUUCUACUAAGAGCCAUGGCGCAACCACAGAUAUCCUCCCACCAAACACUACAUCUAGGAGUUCAGUUAGGCACGCUGUUUCUGUUAUGAAAGGUUUCUGCGAGUACAAAUGUUGGCUAGUAAAAGAAAUUGGUUUUGGUGGUAUGCUUGAUUUGCCAAUGAUACAGAAAUUGAACCUGAAGCUUAGUUCCUGGGUCAUGAGUAAGGUGGAGGUUAGCCAGAAAGCAAUUAUUAUUGGUGGCAGGAAGACCCUGAAGUUCAGUUCCGCAGAUGUUGGAAUGGUUUUCGGUAUCCCAUCCGGCAACCGAGAUGUGCUUGGACCCGACGGAAACAUUAACGAAGAGUCAAUUUCCUUCAUCAAGAAAACCUUAGGGAUGGACCUAGCUUCUUCUCACAGCCUGCGGUCGGCGGAAGCGUUCCUCAAGAGAGACAUCACAGAUCAAUCUAGCAAGAUUGAGAAGGAAUGUUUCCAGAUAGCAUUUGUCAUUUUUGUGAUGGGUCAUGUUCUAGCUCCGUCCUGCAAACACGACUACAAGACCAUCGAUUUCUGGGGUGCACUUUCAAAAGCCGAGAACAUUCCUCAAUUCAAUUGGUGUGACUAUGUCAUGCAAUGCUUGCUUGAUGCUGUAACUAAGCUCAAGAUGGAUAUCAAGAACGGAGUUAGUACUACAAACCUCACAGGAGGGCACCUAUUUCUGCAGGUCAACACCUUUCUUUUUCAGGGUAUUAUUCAUGUUUUUGGCCCUAAACAUUUCAAAACGGUGUGUUUCACCAUUAUUUUGUUGAUGCAUGUUUUCUACCUGGACAAUCUUGAUCUGGGCAUAUUCAACAAGAAGCAUGAUGUCCUCCCCCGCAUCAAUGUGUUUGACCAAGAUACCUUACGAAAAAUGUCUACAAUGGCCACAGACGUUGGAUUACCUGAGCCAUCUUUCUCCUCUGCUCCACUCAGAGACCCGUCCACAGUAUGUUACUCGCGAAGCAGGCCUCAGAAAGAGCCUGUCACACCAUCCAUGUCAGCUCCUCUAGCAAGCAACAACCCGUUGUCGCAGCACCAAGCAACAGCCAGAAAGACUGUCCCAUGCAGGCCGCCAACCAAUGCUAAUCAACAGUUAUCCCCUGCCAUUUCCCCCAGGCAAUUGUCCGCACUGGAUUACUCUAACCAUACCGCACGACAUUUUCCACUCGUGUCAAAACAACCAAUUGCCGUCCUCCUAUGUGAACAAAAUGCGAGAGCGAUCCAUCAUGUGACCACUGCACGACACAACAUACAAACUGACAUGGUGAACUUCACAGACAAGCUAUUCACCGCACUUGCAGCCAACUGCACAUGCUGUGCUGCCAGGGGGUUCUCAGACUGUCCACUCCAGUUUGUUAAUGAUAGUGCAACUCCGAAAGCACAUACGGUACAGCCAGAACAUUCCCACCCUAGCAGUUCCAACAACAUGUCCAACUUCAACACACCAGUCUCUGACAAAAUACAAGGUGUCCGACUUCAACUAUCUGAUGAUGAAGAGAGCUCCUCACAGAGACAGAGAGUGCUGAAGCGUCCAAGAGCACUAGGAAAAGAGUUGCCAGUAGACAACCCACUGGAGACAGCGCUCUCCAGGAAGCGAGCACCGACCAACGAGUUGACCAUGUUGGCGGGCCAACCCAUGGAGACGAAGAACUCCAAGAAACUAGCACUGGCCAAAGAGUUGACGACGUUGGCGGACGAACUCCUCAAAGAAAGUUGGAAGAACAGCAAGGGCCCCAUCGUGCCUACCCCAGAAACUCUAAUGGCCACCUAUGCAAGGCUCAAGGCCGAGUUUGAGGAGAUAGUCAUCGUUGAGAAGCAGUAUUCCCUUGGCAAGGUGAUGGCCCCCAUCGAGGACGAGGAGAUGUCCCCAAGAGGGAUGGGAUCCCCCAUGUCGGUGGACGUCCUUAAUGAUUUCAAUGUCGUGGCCCGUCUGGUGGACAACGCCCCAGAGAUCGUUUCUGAUGUCGCGGUCCGUCCUGUUGACACCGCCCCGGAGAUCGAUUCCGAUGCUGCUGUCCAUCCUAUGGGCAUCGCGCCAGAGAUUGAUUCCGAUGUCACGAUGUACAUCGCCCCAGAGAUCAAUUCGCAUGCCGCUAUCCGUGAUGUGCUCAUUGCCCGAGAGAUCGAUGACAAGAAAUAG